AGAGAGCAAAACAAAACAGAGAAGGGAGAAAGAAAGAAACAGAGAGCAAAACGAAACAGAGAAGGAAGGAAGGAAAGAAAGAAAGAAAAGAAAAGAGAAAUUUGGGGUUUUAAGGUUCAGAGUUAAUUUGCUAAUGUCGUGUACGAGUCAUUGUCCGAGAAAGGAAAGGAGAAGGUGGACAAGGAUUGACUCGGGAGAAAUUUCGCUAAUGUCGUGUACGAGUCAUUGUCCGAGAAAGGAAAGGAGAAGGUGGACAAGGAUUGACUCGGGAGAAAUUUCGUAUUUCCAAUCCAAACGUUUGCAAGUUGGGAGGCAGUCACUUACCUUGAUCACUUAUAAGUACGACAACUACCAAUUACUUUGAUAUACAUUUUGGCUAUCUUUGGCACAUAAUGUCUUAACUAGUCAGUUGCCCACAUUAACAUUCAAAUAGGUUAGUCAUAUUUGCACAUCAUGAGUAACAUUUAAUCUCAAAGUAAUUUCAUGUCACAUGACAAGUUAUAAACAUAUACGAAUUCAUAUUCGAUACAUUUUCAAGCCUUUCUAUUUCAAUUAUGAUAAAUAUCUCCUGAUGGACCUAUAGUAAAAUGGACUUGGAUACAUGAGUGAACUAUGUUGCUCACACAAGCUGAAAUUACAUCAGGGUUGCUCACACAAGAUGAAUUUACAGUAGGUUACCCGUCUGGGCUAAACCUAUGUUACAUAUAACCUGAGAAUCUACAACAGAUGCUAGACCUUGUUAUAACUUGAAAAAUCAUUGAUUAAACGCACGUAUAACCUAUAAUAGCUUGAUUUUCAGUGGUGUCAAA